AUAAACGGGUAAUGGCUCCCAACCAUCCUACUCAAUAUGGCCGACAGAAGAAGAUACAGUGUCUCUGAACUGAAACAACCAACACAAGAACUUGAACUAUAAGGACUCCUUUACCUGCAGACCAGAUGCUGUAACUGAAUAGAAAAGUAGAUGGGGGUCAGCACAAAGAGAAUGUACUGAGUAUGUGGGGGUGCAUGCAACACUUUAAAUAACAUCAUCAAUUU
rnacentral:lncRNA from 1 species